rnacentral:lncRNA from 1 species
AGGCGCCCUUCAGGUCGACCUCCAUCGCCUUCGCUGCCCUCCUGCACCUCUUGGACCAGCCUAGGUUAGUUUCGGAACCUUUCUUUUUCUUGCUGUUCUUUCAUUUUUCCUCCUCUACAUUCUGCCCAUUCAGUUUCUCCGUGAGCACCUUGUUUCCUAUUUUUCUCAAUUUUUUUAGAAUUUUCAUUUGAUUCAAAAUGUUCUCCAACACUUCCUCCUCUAGCGGUUCUAGAAGUUCGUCAGCUCCAGCCCCUCAAAAUCCUAGUAUUGUAUAUGAACCCGUACUUAGGAUCGGACCUCGUUCGAUCUUUGUACUAGACACCAUUCUUAGCUCUUUGACCUCAGACGA